UCCCAUUCUAUAACAUUCGGGGGAAAACUAUAGACAGCAGGAAGCCCAAAGGGUGCCGAGGAUUAGAGGGAAGGAGAGAUUCGGGGCAGAGGCCGGGGCCUGUGGGAUGUGACAGGGCGCUGUCAUUGCACACCGUCGCUUUACACUGUCCAGACCCCAGGAGCCCUGUGAGCUGCGUGUGGACUUCAGAUGCUGGGGAGGCAUCCGGGUCAGCUGUGAUGUCCGGGAAACAUCAGAUGUGUGGGUCAGGAGUAAACAGACUCUGCUUUCUGCUCGGUUUUGUGGUGAACCUAAAACUGCUCUUAAAAAGUAAAUCUAUGUAAAAACAGAACAAGAAGCAGAAGGAGCCUCCUGGCCCCAGAGGAUGUCAGCACUGUGAAGACAAGGAGACCCCGAGACCCCUGGGAAGUGAGGCCCAAGGCCCCGUGUCCUGGAAGCUCUGGGCACCCGCUGGCUGGCCUCAGUUCCUCGAGUGCGUCUUUCUGUCCUGACGCCCUCUUCCCUGCGCUGUCCGAGCGGGCAGUGGGGACGACACUGACGGAAGCCCCAGGCCGCGCACCUUCCAGGGUGAAGCUGAGAGCAGCCUGGGGGGCAGGCAGGCACCCCAGGGCUCCAGCAAGCUUCAGGACUGGGCUUGUGGCCCCCAGGAGACAAGGGGAGAUGCUGGGCCUCUGGGGUGGCUUUGAAGCUCACCGAAGUCUCCCAGGCCCGGGAUGACAGGGCGCCCGCCCGCCUGCCCGCCUGCCUGCUCCUGGGCAGUGAGGGCUGCUGGUGCUGGCCCCCUCCAGGGGCGGGGCUGACAGUGCCUCAGGGCAGGGUCCUGGGGGCCCAGACAUGCUCCCCGCUGCCGGCAGUGUCCCCAGGAGACACCGGGCUCCUGGGCUAUGCUUGUCUUGUAGUUGCAGGCCAGGAAUGUCACACACGCCUGUGCCUUGCUUUAAACCCUGGACGCUGUUGCUGCUCCUGAGCAAGAGGCGGCCUCCUGCUGGUGCUUCUGCUUUCUUCCUGUUGCGCUGGGGCUCUGGGCUCAGCCUGAGGAGACCCCAUACGCCUGGGUCUCCAGGGCCCUCCGUGAAGGGGGAGCCAUCGAGGCCACGGCCAGGGUCCCCGCAGGGCAACUGCAGUCUGUCACUCAGCUGUACCCUGCCCGACCUGUCUUCUGAGGGACUUAGUCCACGGAGAAUUGUCUCUCUUCUCUUUGCGUAUCAGGCUCACAUUCGUGAAGUUUCAUUUAGAUUCAUUUCGGUUUCCAAGAAUAUGUUAAAGUUCAUUUACGUUUUCAAGAAUAUUGUCCAUUUACCUAGAUUUCAGAUAUCAUUCAUUCUCUUACAACUUUAAAAACUGUCUUUAUAUUUAUGGCAUUAGUUCAGAAAAUAAUUGAAGACAGGCGCUCAAAACUUGUACAAAUACAUUCAUAGCGGCACCAUUCACAGCAGCUAAAAGGUGGAAAUAAGCCAAGCAUUUAUGGCUGAUGAGUGAAUAGAAAGAACGUGGCACUGGAAUACAGAUAUAAUGGAAUAUUAUCCAGUCAUAAAUUACAUGAAGUACGGCAGUAAAAUAUCAUUACACGAAGUACUAAAACACACGGUGAUGUGGAGGGACCCUGAAAACGAAGCUGAGCGGAGGAAGCCGAUCCCAAAGGCCGCGUGCUAUUCAGCUCCCUCUGCAUUUACUGCUCCAAACCGGCAAGUUCUCGGGCACAGAGGACGGGACAAGUGGUUGCCAGGCCGAGGGGCAGGAUUCGUGGGAGUGACUGCUUGAUGGAUGAGUUUUCCUUUCAGGCUGAGGGUUGCAGGACAGUGUGAACGUCGUGAGUCACCACGGAGCUGCUCACUCUCGAGUGGUUCAAAGAUAAAUCUUAGGGCAUGUGUGUUUAUCAACUCCCGGCCCCCGGAGUGUCUCGGGUACGAUGGGAACAAGCCCAGGAGGAAGGUGGCCUGGCUGCUGGGCCAGAGGACAUGGAGUGAUGCUGGCAGUGUACCACGGUGACCUCAGAAAUCUAGGGGUGCGGAGCAGGCAGGUGGGGAGCAGCAUGUUUCUACAGCUGAUGUUGACAUGCUGGGAGAAGAAGCUGCUGCCAGCUGCAGGCCGCCCGAGUUAGAGAGAGCACGUUCGUGUGCGUGCGUGCCUGCGUGCGCGCAUUCCUGUGGCUAAAAUGGGCUGGGACUUACCCUCCUUGGCCACGCCCAGGCUGAAGACAACCUCUCCUCUGCCCUGGCAGGAAGCGUCCGGAGCGCCGCCAGGACAUCUGCUUCAUCUUCCUUGGCAACAAAAGGCGCCCUGAGAGGGACUCUAGGCUGGGGACUGGGAGCAACCCUAACCCUCCUCCUUUUCUCCUGCAGGAGUGGACAGGAGCUCCAGCCUGGAGUCUCAGAGAGCGCCCCAUGCAGGAAGGCAGGUUUCACACCCAGGGAGGCCCAAGGACCCCUGAGCACCUGGGCCGGGAGCAGAGUCCCUUGCGUGGGGCAGCUCCUCCGCUGGGACCUGUUUGGCUUCGGACCCCGGUGAGCUGUCCAGGAGAAAGACGGGGCCUUUGGCUCAGACAGCUCACCUUUCUUUGUGUUUCUGGACCUGUAUCUCUGUCUUCCUGCCCCACACAAAACUGUCUUUGAAAUUUUGUGGACUUGCUUCCUCGGGGUCAUGCAGAUUUCCAUUUCAUGCACAUAAUCACCGUCAUCUCCGAGUGGCCGGGGCCUGUGCUGCCCCACUGUGCCAUGCAUCGGGCCAUAGCUGUCCAGUUCUGAGUGAGCAGAGAGAAGAGACUGGCCAGGCAGCAAAGCCAGACUUUGGUUGGACUGCACUGAGGCCAGGGCACCCAGGAGAUUUCUAGGGCCUGGCUGGCCUGCCCAGAAAGGCCCGAUGGGUGAGACUGCUGUCUCCCAGUGCAGAGCCACUCCCAAACCCAGGGCCCCAGCCCCUGCAGACAUCUCUGAAGAAGCCCUCUCGAGCAUCCUGAGGCUCUGGAGGAUCCCUUCCAGAGAGAAACUCAGCUGGCUUCUCACCCUAGAGAAGAAAGAGGGAGCUUGAAAAGAAGAACUCAAAAAGCACAGUGAUCGAACCAAAGAAAGAAAUCUCAAAUGAUAGAAAUUCAGACCUUGAAGACCAGUCACGGGGAGGAAGGAGGCCUUCCUGGCACGCAGAGCGGGUGCCACGUUCCUGACUUCCUGUGUCUGACCUCCCCUGCUGGGGCCAUCUCUCCUGACGGAGGCUGGGCCUGGCUCCAAGCGCUGAGCUUAGGAGGCAGCCUGCUCCCCUCCAGGCCCUCUGACCGCAGAGCAGCCGAGGAAGGAUAACAAGUUCUGAAAAGAACAACAAAGGCUUGUGGGCUGGGAAACAGGAAGUGGGGCUUCUGCACUUGCAGUCUUCCAGUCCCACCACAAUCUCAGGGCACGCUCUCCAUUGCUAAGUACAGAGAAAUCACAGCCAGCCGGCUUCUGGUUUGCUUCCUUGUUUUGGUUAAAAUCAGUGGAAUUUCUUUUCCUCAAGCAAAAAAUCUUACCCAGAGCUCUAAAAAACAUGACAUGAAAUCAGUAAGAAGGCUUCCCCAGUGAAGUAUUUUCUUGGCCCAAGUGAGAGGACACCACGCCUCCCUGUGGAAUUGGACAACUGGGUUAACUGGGUAACUAUGCUCUUUGUAGAAUGCACCUGAGUAACCUUGACAGCUUCUGGAAUCUGUCACGAAAGGAGCAGAACAGACUCACAAAGUCCUGCCAGAGCUCUUGGCCCACCCCCUCCCCGUGCUUUGUGUAAAUCCUGCUUGCCAUAUUCCCAGGGAAACUCCAAUGAAAAUAAGCCUCGUAGAUGUAAAAGAGGUACAGAAAGAAGAGCGAACUUCUCUUCAGGCUCUCGAGACUGACAGGAGCCACUGGCUGAGCCACCGGCCAUAAAGCCAGUUUGCUCCUUCUUUGUGUGUCAGAGUGCUCUGUCCAGGUGUCCCCACAGUUUCCUGCUUCAGACGAACGCUAAUGGUCAUGGAAUCUCUAAGUUCCUACAGCUCCGUUUUGAUCCUCUGUCCUCAAAGUCAGCUUCUUCUGCACCUGGGAAAACCAACGGCAGAGACUGUUGGCCUGCUGAAACUCUCAGGACAGCAAAGGUGGCACCAGGUUCCCCAGAAAUCCUUCCAGGGCUCUAAAACCAGCAUAAGCCCUUCCUUAGUCCAAAAUGGUAACUUUGAACAGAAGCAGAGCUGCUGAGGCUCUGGCAGUUAGAGGUCCAGCAUCGAAGUCCUUGCUGACUAGACAUCCGGUAAGGACACAGACAGUGUCGUCUCGCUGUCUUCCUGCAUGGAAAGGCAAGAUAGGUCUCCGGACCUUUUUUUAAGAGCACCUGGUCACUGCGUAAUGACCCCAGCGCUAACACUGUUACAGAGCCGAUUGCAUUUGGGCGUGAGUUCUGGGGUUCUUCUGGGGGACCGGCUCUGCCUGGCAGCCCAGCCUUUCUGCAGGGCACAGCCACACCUGCCCAGCCUGCAUGGGCACGCUGCCGUCAGCUCCACACACAGGUGGAAAAUGAGGUCCAACCCUGCCAGAGCAGCCUCCUGGAUGGGCGUGGCAGUCUCCCCAGCCCAUCGCUCCAGGUGCAAGGGUGCCCCCUGUGUGGGGAGGGUGCGCUGGGCUGUCUCUGACCCAAGGAGGUGCUGAGGUCGGAAUGCUCGUGGCCCUCAGUGUCGAACCCCGCCCGUGAUGAGGCGUCCGGAGGGAGGGCGGAAGGGGUUGGGAGGGCUUGGGAGGUCGGAGUCCUGCCUGGGGUCCUGGCCUUCCAGAAGAGCCCUUCCACUGCGCGGGCACACAGGAAGACGCUGCCGCCAGCAGCCGGCGAGCGGCCCCACCACACGAGGAAUCUGCAGGCCCUUGGUCUUGGGCCUCCUGCCUCUAGAACUCAGAUCAUUUCUGUUGUUGUUAGGCCUCUCGGCGUGUGGCGUUUUGUUUUAUAGCCUGACAGGAUGAGGACAGGAGGCCUCACUUCCAACCAUCCCUGGUGAGCGUGGCCUUCUCAUCCAGACCCUGCCGGGGACCAGCCUCCGCUGCCAAGGGCCACAGCCUUGCAGGAUGCAGAGUAGCGACCUGGGCCUCAGCCCGGGGGACCCCCUUUCCGCUGGGCCGGCACGGCCUUCCUAGCCUACAGCCCACACUGGCCUCAGAGUGCUCCAAACACAGCCGCUCACUUGGGCCUCCUGCCCCAGGGCCUUUUCUCUGCCUCCCAAACCCACAGACUCACCUAGCUCUGUGGCCAAAGCACUCUCCCGAGCAGCUCACCCAGCCUCAGCCCCCGGGGCCUCAGUCACCUGCACACCCACAGCAGACCUCACUCGGGGGCACAGGGCCCUGCUUUCCCAGAAGCCUGGCUCAAGCAUCAGACACCGUCUGACCAGUGCUCCGCUGCCGCAGCACAGCUGUCUUCAUGGUCAGAUGCCCGGGUGUAGAGGGGAGGAAGCGGGAUUCCAGCACUUGGAGCCAGCCAUCAGCAGAGGUGUGACACAUCCUAGGGGAGUUGGUCAGGGAGCGUGUCGGGUCUCCUCACGGUUAGGGCUGUGUGCAGCCCUCCAUGCCUACCUGGGAGGUGGCCACUGUAGGACUGAGCUCCCCCCAAGGCCCCUGACCCCACCUCACCCCCCAGCCAUGUAGCUCUGGAGGCCCCCGGGGCACAGGGCCAGCACAGCCUGCCCUGUCCACACCUGGGCCGGGCCAGGAAGGAGGGGCGCUGAAGGGUCAAGGCCCCCAGCUGCUUUGUGCUGUGCGUGAGGAAGCAUCUUCUAGACCCACAUGGCCCCUCUCCGGACUCGUGCACUUGAAAAGGCGGCCACGCCGGGAUUGGAGCCCCCAGAGAGUCCAAGGGUAGCGGAGGCCUGCAGGGAGCUGUGGUGAUCUUCAGGUGGCCGUGGACUCCUGGCAGCUGAGAGUUCAGCUCUGGCAAAGGCUUGCUUAUUCAUCCACUCAGCCACAGCCAGCCAGUGCCAGGCAUUAUACUGGCUGCUGGGACACAGCAGUGGGAUUUAGCCGGGUGAGGCGGCGCACACCUGCCAUCCCAGCUACUCAGGAGGCUGCAGUCAGAGGCCAGCGUGGGCGACUUAGCAAGACCCCAUCUCAAAGUAAAAACUUAACCAAAGAGCUGGGGCUGUAGCUCAGUGCUCCCUGGGUUCAAUCCCCAGCACCACAGGAACAAGGCAGAACUUACAAACUUCCCUGGCUUCUGCUGCAGGGGGAGGAGAACAAGAUGAAGCGGUGACGCGCUCCGCGGUGGUGAUCAGGGGCAGAUGGAGCAUGGAGAGGAGUGUUUGAGGUGCACUCUGACGCGGUGGGAGGAGGCCUCCCUGGUGCCAGACCGGUGACUGGCCCUGAAGAGUGUCAGGGAAGCCCCGGGGCUGGAGCACCCCGGUGAGCCAGAGGGACGGUGGGGGAGGCAGGAUGGCGGCAGCCAUGCCGUGACCUGGGAGUGUCUCAGGAGAUGCUGUCGGGGUCGAGUGGUGGCCCCAAGAGCCUGUGCUGGAGUCCUAUCUGAGGAGCCUACCAGUGUGUGAAAUCUUGCGAGUGCAGUCACCCCAGGGAGCCUCGAGAUGCGCUCAGCCGAUCAUCCAACACAAGGGCUUUUGCAGUGACAUGCAGAGGACAGACGUGGGGAAAGAGGGGAGACCAGGAAAGCCAGAGGCAAAGACUGCAGUGGCCAGGGGUCAGGGGCUGGGGAAGGCAGGGGGGGUCGGGACGGGGCCCUGCCGCCACUCCAUUUCAGCCUUGCCUUGCAGAACUGUGAGAGAAGACAGCUCUGCUGUCAUCUGUGACCACCACCCUGGGAAACUGACACAGAUGGGCCUCCGGGAGGCCUGGGCUGGGAGGGACACGGCCCCUGGUCAGAGGGUCCCUCCUCCUGCUGUGUGCGGAAGUCCAGGGAUAUCAGGCACAGACAGCAGCUGGGAAUGAGCUGCUGGGUCCCAGGCUGCGGCUGGAUGGUGCCAGGUCUGGUGACCCCAGGCUCUUCCUGUCCUGCCCAAAGAAUUGGCAGGGACAGCAGAUGAAUGGGUGGACACAACUUUCAUUUAAGGUAGAGAAAGAAAGGGAAAGUGCAGAAGAGAACAGCAAGAAGAGAUACGGACCGGGUGCAGGAGUGGCCACUGCAAAAACAGGAAGCAUCGGACAGCAGGGUCUCAGAGGCAGCGGUCAGUGGCCACUGUCUUUCGUAUCCGCCCAGACUCUGACUGGGAGGAAGCUGCUCUGCCCACGCAGCCUGGCUGUGAUGCACACAUCACAUCCUGUUGAUCGGUCUCCAGUCAGGCUUGGGUUACAUCCGAAACCUAUUUUCAGCCAGCCUGCAGUGCCCUAGUCUCCUGCCUCAGGGCACAGGCCCCAAAGUCCUGAAAGCAGGGACGGGUAGGCGGAUGGCUGGCUGGGGAAGGAAGCCCUGGACAGUGGGGCCCAGGCCUUUGGACUUGGUGAGCCAAGCGGGGAAGGGCCCUGCGCCCCAGGGCCAGGGGAGUCCGCUCUUGUGAGGGCCCAAGAGAUGGUGUCAUCGUAGGACGGGAGCAGGCCCUGAAAACCCGCACAGCCUUCAGAAAGCAGAGGAGAGAGGCCUGAGCCAGGUGGGUUGGGGCCGGCGCAUGGCGUGUGGAGCCAAGCCAAGCGCCUGGCCCCUGCGGUGGCUCACUGCCUUUGAAACUGGUGUGGGUCCCCUGCCUUCCCUCUUCGCUCUCUCCCACCCCCACCCGUGCUUUGUCAGCAGCAGCUCAGCACCUGAAGUCCCUCGAACCGCCUUCUGGUCAUUUCAGUAAUGAGUGACGGACUCCAGGCCCGCCUUCCCGGCCUCCAUGCUGGGCUGGGCUGUCUUCAUCCACCUGUGGAACACAAUUGAAAACAGACUCCCUCCCACUGCUUGGAAAUUCCCAGAGAGGACACCCCGGGGCCCCAAAGGGACAGAGGGCAGCAGGCAGGAUAUACAUGGCGUGAUGGGACAAUGAGAUGGAUGUUUACCUUUUUAAAAUACAUUACAAUAAAAGACACAUUGCUGGUAA